GUGAUGCUCUGCUUACUGUACCACCACUCCUAUUAACUUACGGAUUUCAUUAACUUAUCGCCAACUACGGAAACCCUAAUUCCCAAAAUUCGGAGCUGACAAGCGCACAUCUCAAAUCGACCAACAGGAAGAAUGAGCAGCCGCUCGAGUAGAACUGUGUACGUUGGAAACCUUCCCGGCGAUAUCCGCGAGAGAGAGGUUGAAGAUUUGUUCAGUAAGUAUGGACCUGUUGUUCAAAUUGAUUUAAAGGUCCCGCCAAGGCCUCCUGGCUAUGCAUUCGUAGAGUUUGAUGAUGCUCGGGAUGCUGAAGAUGCUAUUCAUGGUCGGGAUGGUUACGACUUUGAUGGUCAUCGAUUACGGGUGGAACUAGCGCAUGGUGGGAGGCGUUCAACAGAUGAUGCUCGGAGUGGUUACAAUGGUGGUGGCCGUGGUGGUGGUCGUGGCGGCGGCGGUGGUGAUGGUGGUAGUCGUGGACGUGGGCCAUCUAGGAGAUCAGAGUUUCGUGUUCUGGUGACAGGCUUGCCUUCAUCAGCUUCUUGGCAAGAUCUCAAGGAUCACAUGCGUAAAGGAGGGGAUGUAUGUUUCUCGCAAGUGUACCGUGAUGGUAGAGGUACAACUGGAGUUGUGGAUUACACCUGUUACGAGGACAUGAAGUAUGCGGUGAAAAAGCUUGACGACACCGAGUUUCGAAACGCGUUUUCCCAUGGACACAUUCGGGUCAGAGAAUAUGAUUCAAGGAAGGAUUCUAGGAGCCCUAGCCGGGGAAGAUCCUAUUCUAGGAGUCGUAGCCGCAGCCGUGGACGGAGCCUGAGCCGAAGCAGGAGUCCAAAGGCAAAGUCUUCACGUAGGUCGCCUGCAAAAUCUGCAUCAAGAUUUCCUCGCUCUCGCUCGAAGUCAAGGUCACAGUCUCCAAGAAGAUAUGGACAUACAUACAUGCAAUCGACUAAAAAAUGGGAAUUAAUAUCUGGAUGGAAUUUCUUGGUUGUUCACAAGUUUUUCGACUCUGAGGUAUGGGGAAGCUUUUUGGAAUCGAGACUUUGCUUUUCCUGGCUUUCUCAUAAUAUAGUAUUCACUAAUUUCCGUUACUGCUAGAUGGAUAACACUGAGACAUUGGAUCGCAAUAUUAUAUAACGGAUUUCGGUAAAACUAAAAUGCCCGAUGGAUGAUGACAAUAUGGAAUCUGGGUUCUCGUGGGACGUCCAUGGCACAUUUUACUACAGAAGAUCUCGUUCAAGAUCAAGAUCUCCUCUACCGUCUCUUCAGAAGGAAGCAAGCAAGAGCCCUAGCAAGCCAAGCCCAGCCAAGAGCCCUAUCCGCAGCAGGAGCAGGAGUCCAAUACCGUAAAAUUGUGAGAUCCACAGGGGGAAAAAGGAGUUAAGGACAUCUUUGGCAUUCUACUUCUCCUGAAAAAAGCUGGAAAAUUUUAUACAUUUGCUUUCAGAAGUUAUCAUAUGUUAAGGGUUAUUUGUACUGAAGAAGAUGAGACAAAGUCUGUAUCCUGGUGGUAAAUCACACUGUUGAUGAUUGUUUUGUAAUAGUCUUGACAUUAAAAGAUCUUUUAGUUUUUGCCUUUUGGCGAUGUUUCUAUUGAAGAUAUCGUUCCUGA